rnacentral:rRNA from 1 species
CCUACGGGAGGCAGCAGUGGGGAAUAUUGCGCAAUGGGCGAAAGCCUGCCGCAGCGACGCCGCGUGAGGGAUGAAGGUCUUCUGAUCGUAAACCUCUGUCAGCAGGGAAGAACGGUCACUGUGCUAAUCAGCAGUGAAUUGACGGUACCUGCAAAGGACGCACCGGCUAAAUCCGUGCCAGCAGCCGCGGUAAUACGGAGGGUGCGAGCGUUAAUCGGAAUUACUGGGCGUAAAGCGCUCGUAGGCGGUAUGUCAAGUCAAGGGUGAAAUCCCCGCGCUCAACGUGGGAACUGCCUUUGAAACUGGCAAACUGGAGUGUGUGAGAGGAUGGUGGAAUUCCAGGUGUAGGAGUGAAAUCCGUAGAUAUCUGGAGGAACAUCAGUGGCGAAGGCGACUAUCUGGCACAUAACUGACGCUGAGGAGCGAAAGCGUGGGUAGCAAACAGGAUUAGAUACCCGGGUAGUC